UUCAGGUUUCCGCCAUUUUUUUUUAUACCGCAUGGAUGGGCUCGGCGUGGUGAAGCGGGAAUCAAUAAAAUUGAAUCCUUAAGCAUGUCAGGAAGAUCUGCCAAGCUUUUGGUGAUAGUGAGUCAAGAUGAUUCAAGAAAGUUGCUUUUGCCAGAUGGGAUUCCCAAAUCAGUGGAUGCGCUCAUUGAAAAGCUCUAGCAGCACUGAUGAUACAAUCAUACUCUCAAGAACUGCAAGAAAGAUGGCCAGCACUGUUUCAACAAGAGGAGAUUGAUGCCGAAUUUUUGCACAACACAACCUUACCUUUACAGUUAAGAUUUAUGGCCUCUUUGGACAGACAGAGCUCUCAGAUUCUCCAGGUUAUUAGGAGCAAAGGUGGAGUCCUCCGUGAAAAAGCGAAGGACACUAUUUAAGUUAUGGAUCAGAGCCUGGACAUAGACAUCAGAGGAGAGUGCCUGCUGAAGUGCCUGAUCAUGUACCUUUGUGAAGAUGCAAGCUAUCUGAUCGAAGAAUACCAGGCUGACCAGAGGGAGGAAGCAAUGGGUGAAUUUGAAAAGAACACCAUGACACUUUUUGUGACCCGUGAAAGUGAUGCUCUUACUCGUGCACUGGACAUUUCGAUUGUCAUUGACUGUGUGGAAGUACUAAAUGAGUUGCCUUCUGUUGCAUGUCCCUGCGCCAUGAUGUUUGGACUCAUUUAUGCACUGAACUUAAAAUAUCCCGAAGGACUCAAAUAUAUCUUUGAGACCUUUCAAAAAAUAAUCAUGGACUUGGAGAGUAGACAGAUGAGCCGAAGGGUGCCGAACCUGCAGGAGUAAGCAGAUGUGCUGAAGAGUGCAGAACCUCUCUUUAAAGCUACUGGAGAUAACUUGUAUCCUUUGACUCAACUACAGUGUUCUGAUUGCGAUAUAUUUUAGAUGUUGGACUUCUUCAUUUCUUCAUCUUCAUUAUAAAGCAUUAAAUAGUUUACCAAAACAUGAAAGUUCAUACAUUGUUUACUCAUCUUUAAGCUAUUCUAAGUAUUUAACUUUAAUUAAAUUAGGUUCAGAGAAAUUUAAUGACAAUUAUGAGAGAAGUUUAAUUUUUCGGUAAACUAUUUCAUUAAGGUGAAGACUUCUCUUUCAACAGUUGGCUAAUUUGUUACAGAGUUAUUAAAAAGUAUUUAAUUUUACACUGCACAUUUUAAGCCAUUUUUUGGGCCAAACUUGUUUUAACCUCAGAAGAAUUCUUAAGGUUUUGUGUAGUCAGUUUUGAUUGACUGUUCAUGAAAAGGUGUCCAAUGAUUACUGAUUCCUAUGGUGAACUUCCAUUGUAUCCAGGGUCUUUGUAUAUGGAUACUAAAAACUGUUGUACAGUAUAAUUUUAUAAAAAUGCUAUGCACAUUGUAGAAAUGUUUUAUGACAUAAAUUGUCAUGUUUGUUAUGUUUACAUUGUUAGACAGUGUGUAUUUGUACUGUACACAUUGUAAAAAAUGUGGUAUUGACAAAAUAAAUUGUCAAUAGUU
rnacentral:lncRNA from 1 species